rnacentral:rRNA from 1 species
GAUGAACGCUGGCGGCGUGCCUAAUACAUGCAAGUCGAGCGAACGGACGAGAAGCUUGCUUCUCUGAUGUUAGCGGCGGACGGGUGAGUAACACGUGGAUAACCUACCUAUAAGACUGGGAUAACUUCGGGAAACCGGAGCUAAUACCGGAUAAUAUUUUGAACCGCAUGGUUCAAAAGUGAAAGACGGUCUUGCUGUCACUUAUAGAUGGAUCCGCGCUGCAUUAGCUAGUUGGUAAGGUAACGGCUUACCAAGGCAACGAUGCAUAGCCGACCUGAGAGGGUGAUAGGCAACACUGGACCUGAGACACGGUCCGGACUCCUACGGGAGGCAGCAGUAGGGAAUCUUCAGCAAUGGGCGAAAGCCUGACGGAGCAACGCCGCGUGAGUGAUGAAGGUCUUCGGAUCGUAAAACUCUGUUAUUAGGGAAGAACAUAUGUGUAAGUAACUGUGCACAUCUGGACGGUACCUAAGCAGAAAGCCACGGCUAACUACGU